UAGGGAAUAUUGCUUAAUGGGCGAAAGCCUGAAGCAGCAACGCCGCGUGCACGAUGAAGGUCUUCGGAUCGUAAAGUGCUUUUUUAGAGGAUGAGGAAGGACAGUACUCUAAGAAUAAGCCUCGGCUAACUACGUGCCAGCAGCCGCGGUAAAACGUAGGAGGCGAGCGUUAUCCGGAUUUACUGGGCGUAAAGCGUGUGCAGGUGGUUUGGUAAGUUGGAUGUGAAAGCUCCUGGCUUAACUGGGAGAGGUCGUUCAAUACUGCCAGACUUGAGAGUGAGAGGGGGAGGUGGAAUUCCGGGUGUAGUGGUGAAAUGCGUAGAUAUCCGGAGGAACACCAGUGGCGAAAGCGGCCUCCUGGCUCAUUUCUGACACUCAUACACGAAAGCUAGGGUAGCAAACGG
rnacentral:rRNA from 1 species